AAUUGGCUGUGUGGAGAGAUCCCCCAAGGAAGAACCUUCAACAUCUUCCCUGUGGCUGCUUAUGCCCAUAAUCAAUGGUUAU